CGGGGGUGGGGCCGGGGCGCGCGCCGAGCGGCGGGCAGGCGGGGCUCAACUCCGCGCUACCGUAAUCCGCCUAAAGCUGGCGCAGCACGUCCACUGCCGGGCCGCGGGGAGACCACGUGGACCGAACUUCAGGGGAGAACAGACCGGCACGUGGGACGGGCCGUGGGGCUACGGAUCUGAAAGGGGCUUUGCAGAGAGACCUCAGAGGGUGUCCGGCCUCGGAGCGGUUCCAGGGAACGCUGUGCCAACCCCACCUUCCUGUGGAGCCCUGAGGCAGCAUCCCAUGGAGUCUCCCCGAAUGCAGAGCAGCUGCCUCAGUCCCAACACAAGGACUUUAAGCUCUGUCUGCCCAGCAAGCAGAAGAGCAUGCAGCGUGAACCCAGGAAAAUUUGGAAGAUACUGAAAAAGCACCAAAAAGAAAAUAAAGAUCGGUCACAUCAUGCUGAGUUAACCAUGAGUUUCACUUAUUAGCCCAGGCUGCCCUGGACCUUGAGGCGAUCCUCCUGCCUCCGCCUCCAAAGUGCUGGGAUUAUAGGUCAUUCCGGACUCCCGACGCCGCCAGUCCCUUGGUGAGACAGCAGCACCACUGGCGUCCGUGGCCUCUGUUUCCGUGGCAACCCAGUAACCAUUAAUUUUCAAUUAAAGGAGACAAAAAGCUCAAUGACAGCUCCAGGUCCGCUGAAGAUGUCAAGAAUGUGUAUUAAUAUACAGCACGAGAGCAUAAUUGUGUGUCCAUCUUCCAGAGCAGCGAAAAAUGGAGGGAUAAUUACCAGCUCGAAAGCCACUCUGUAAUUUAGUUCUUACUGUCACCACAACCCUGCACAUUAGCAUAAAUUAAAAGCGGAGUUUAUUGUUAUCAAAGUGCAUCGA